UCUUAUAGAUGAGCAAAGAGUAGUUUCUUCAGAUAGAAUCUACUCCUGGUGAAGAUGUUGUGAA
rnacentral:pre_miRNA from 1 species